ACCACCAGGAGGACUCUGUGUGUGUGUCGUCGGAGGUGCUCUGCAGUGGGAACAGGGACAAUUCUCCAACUUUGGGCAGUCGAGAGCCUGGGUGAGAUAAGGGGCGUUAAAGCCCUUUGUGAAGGAGAAAGGGGAGUUUCACGGUGUUGAGCACCAAGGAAUUCUAAACUUUGCUAAAACAUCUAGUCUGCAGAAACCAGAAAUGGUCGGGGCGAAGAGACGGGAGAAAUUCGGAGAGUGGUCACUAUUGGGCAGGAAUCGGAGGAGCGGGAGGCAGGUGGGGGGAUCCUGCUGUCUGUGUGGGGCCCUGGCUGUGUAAUCUCCUCACUGGGAAGUGUCAGUGAGGCCCGAAUCUCACACGCUCCUUUGUCUCCUUUGGGUCUCACAGGAGCUCAUUGAGGAGCUGCCUGAUAACUCUCCACCCGGCGCCGUCCUCGCUAACUCCCUGAUUGCUGUGGGCAACCUCAGCACCAUGACGCCUGCCCUGGAGCCAGAGCUGGAGACCCACCUCCUCCAAGUUGCCCUGCACGCCUUCACCCUAGGCAUGGAGAAGGACACCACCCAAGUGCAGGUAAAUCAUGCUAAAGUCAUGGAUAGAAGAGCCAGCUGUCAUCCUGCCAUGAAUCCUUGCUAAUUGCCUGCAGUGGGAUGUGAAUGAGAGAGGCCAGGAUAUGUGUUUGGGGUCUCACCAGUGCUUCCCAGAGACCUGUCUUCCCAUCCUGUGGCAGGUGUAGCCCCAGUUUCCCUAACUCUGACCCAUGGCUCUCCCAUGCUUUCAGGAUCUGCCUAGGGUCUUGCCAGACCUCCUGGACACCAUGCUGGGGAACCUGCUGGCAGAGUCCCCAGACACCGACAGGCUCCAGUACAUCUUGGAGCUGAGCCCGAUGAGAGGGGUGGGGGCAAUUUUACCUUCACUCUUAGAUCCAUUUUCCAGUCUGUCCUCCUAGCCGGGCCCCCAGUGGGCAUCCUUGGUCAGGGCAGUCAGUGCAAUGCCUCCUUUCUCCACAGCACAUUAACUACUGGAUCGUGUCCAGGGUGCCGCGAGAGAGAGCCAGGGCCGUUAAGAGCAGCACGGCCCUGCUCAGAUCCACCAUCACCCUCCCUGAGUUUGACAACUCAGCGGAAUUCCCCAGGAUGGGUCACCACAUGGCACAGCUAGCUCUGUCCGUCAGUGACCCAGCCAAGGACAUCAGCUUGCAGGCCAGGGAGGGGGUUUACCGGCUCUACCAGCUGCUGCUGCACCAGAGGGGUAAGGAACCCAGCUGGGAAAUGGCACCUGCUAGAAGAGUGAGACUGGGACCCCAGCCAAUUUCUCUCAGACUGACCCCGGCUGGAGGAUGAGUCUCUCUAUCUCUUUCUGUGUUCCACACCACGCCCUGCAAUUCUGUUGGGCCGGGCACGCAGCGAGG